GUGGGGAAUUUUGGACAAUGGGGGCAACCCUGAUCCAGCCAUGCCGCGUGCGGGAAGAAGGCCUUCGGGUUGUAAACCGCUUUUGUUAGGAACGAAAAGGUAUCUGUGAACAACAGGUAUUGCUGACGGUACCUAAAGAAUAAGCACCGGCUAACUACGUGCCAGCAGCCGCGGUAAUACGUAGGGUGCGAGCGUUAAUCGGAAUUACUGGGCGUAAAGCGUGCGCAGGCGGUUGGGUAAGACAGGUGUGAAAUCCCCGAGCUUAACUUGGGAACUGCACUUGUGACUGCUCAACUAGAGUAUGUCAGAGGGAGGUGGAAUUCCAAGUGUAGCAGUGAAAUGCGUAGAUAUUUGGAAGAACACCGAUGGCGAAGGCAGCCUCCUGGGAUAAUACUGACGCUCAUGCACGAAAGCGUGGGGAGCAAACAGGA
rnacentral:rRNA from 1 species